CAUUGCAGUUGGCUGAACCUUGUGUCAACCAUCCAUUCCAGGAGCCAGCUAUCUGAGGUGACUUUCUUCCACCCCCACCUCCACCUCUAGAUGAUUCCAGUGCCCUUCCAUCUAUUUCUGGAAACUUUCCUCCUCCACCGCCUCUUGACGAAGAGGCUUUCAAAGUACAGGGAAAUCCCGGAGGCAAGACACUUGAGGAGAGGCGCUCCAGCCUGGACGCUGAGAUUGACUCCUUGACCAGCAUCUUGGCUGACCUUGAGUGCAGCUCCCCCUAUAAGCCUCGGCCUCCACAGAGCUCCACUUGUUCAACAGCCUCUCCUCCAGUUUCGACCCCAGUCACAGGACACAAGAGAAUGGUCAUCCCGAACCAACCCCCUCUAACAGCAACCAAAAAGUCUACAUUGAAACCACA
rnacentral:sRNA from 1 species